rnacentral:rRNA from 1 species
GGUCUCGCGAAUGCUCUAGAUUAGAGUUGAUCAUGGCUCAGGCUUGGAACACUCUCCUUAAAGUUUGAUCAUGGCUCAGAAGGAGGCUGGAUCACCUCCUUAGAGUUUGAUCAUGGCUCAGGUUGGAUCACCUCCUUAGAGUUUGAUCAUGGCUCAGAGAGUUUGAUCCUGGCUGGAUCACCUCCUCAGAGUUUGAUCAUGGCUCAGAAUGAACGUUGGCGGCGUGGAUUAGGCAUGCAAGUCGAACGGGUCUAGCAAUAGACCAGUGGCGCAAGGGUGAGUAAGGCGACGGUAACCAACCCCAUGGUUGGGUAUAGCCGCGGGAAACUGCGGGUAGUCCCCAGCGACGUAAGAGACCGGCAUCGGUGUUUUACCAAAGCUUCGGCGCCGUGGGACGGGCCAUCGUGGUAUUAGGUAGUUGGCGGGGUAACAGCCCACCAAGCCUGUGAUGCCUACCGGGCGUGCGAGCGUGGCCCGGCACACUGGGACUGAGACACUGCCCAGACUCCUACGGGAGGCUGCAGUCGAGAAUCUUCGGCAAUGGGCGCAAGCCUGACCGAGCGACGCCGCGUGGAGGAUGNAAGGCCUUUCGGGGGUUGUAAACUUCCUGUCCGAAGGGGGGAACGGAAAGGGGCAA